UACGGGGGGUGCGAGCGUUGUCCGGAAUCACUGGGCGUAAAGCGCACGUAGGCGGAUUGUUAAGUCGGGGGUGAAAUCCUGGAGCUCAACUUCAGAAUUGCCUUCGAUACUGGCUUUCUAGAGGCUGGAAGAGGUUAGUGGAAUUCCCAGUGUAGAGGUGAAAUUCGUAGAUAUUGGGAAGAACACCAGUGGCGAAGGCGGCUAACUGGUCCAGAUCUGACGCUGAGGUGCGAAAGCGUGGGGAGCAAACAGG
rnacentral:rRNA from 1 species